UACGGGGGGAGCAAGCGUUGUUCGGAUUUACUGGGCGUAAAGGGCGCGUAGGCGGUCGUGACAAGUCACUUGUGAAAUCUCCGGGCUUAACUCGGAACGGUCAAGUGAUACUGUCGGACUAGAGUACAGAAGGGGCAACUGGAAUUCUCGGUGUAGCGGUGAAAUGCGUAGAUAUCGAGAGGAACACCUGCGGCGAAGGCGGGUUGCUGGGCUGAUACUGACGCUGAGGAACGAAAGCCAGGGGAGCGAAUGGG
rnacentral:rRNA from 1 species